AAUCUUCCGCAAUGGACGCAAGUCUGACGGAGCAACGCCGCGUGUGUGAAGAAGGUCUUCGGAUUGUAAAGCACUUUAAGCAGUGAAGAAGACUCCAUGGUUAAUACCCAUGGACGAUGACAUUAGCUGCAGAAUAAGCACCGGCUAACUCUGUGCCAGCAGCCGCGGUAAUACAGAGGGUGCAAGCGUUAAUCGGCAUUCCUGGGCGUAAAGCGAGCGUAGGUGGCUUGAUAAGGCAGAUGUGAAAGCCCCGGGCUUAACCUGGGAACGGCAUCUGAUACUGUUAGGCUAGAGUAGGUGAGAGGAAGGUAGAAUUCCAGGUGUAGCGGUGAAAUGCGUAGAGAUCUGGAGGAAUACCGAUGGCGAAGGCAGCCUUCUGGCAUCAUACUGACACUGAGGUUCGAAAGCGUGGGUAGCAAAC
rnacentral:rRNA from 1 species